ACUCCUACGGGAGGCAGCAGUGGGGAAUAUUGGACAAUGGGGCAACCCUGAUCCAGCAAUGCCGCGUGUGUGAAGAAGGCCUGCGGGUUGUAAAGCACUUUCAGUAGAGAAGAAAAGCCUAGGGUUAAUACCCCUGAGUCUUGACGUUACCUACAGAAGAAGCUCCGGCUAACUCCGUGCCAGCAGCCGCGGUAAUACGGAGGGAGCGAGCGUUAAUCGGAAUUACUGGGCGUAAAGCGCACGUAGGCGGCUUUGUAAGUCGGAUGUGAAAGCCCCGGCUUAACCUGGGAAUGCAUUCGAUACUGCAGAGCUAGAGUAUGGUAGAGGGAAGUGGAAUUUCCGGUGUAGCGGUGAAAUGCGUAGAUAUCGGAAGGAACACCGGUGGCGAAGGCGACUUCCUGGGCCAAUACUGACGCUGAGGUGCGAAAGCGUGGGGUAGCAAAACAGGAUUAGAAUACCCUGGUAGGCUCUGCU
rnacentral:rRNA from 1 species